rnacentral:rRNA from 1 species
CCUACGGGUGGCAGCAGUGAGGAAUAUUGGUCAAUGGACGAGAGUCUGAACCAGCCAAGUAGCGUGAAGGAUGACUGCCCUAUGGGUUGUAAAUUUCUUUUAUAUGGGAAUAAAAUGUUCCACGUGUGGGAUUUUGUAUGUACCAUAUGAAUAAGGAUCGGCUAACUCCGUGCCAGCAGCCGCGGUAAUACGGAGGAUCCGAGCGUUAUCCGGAUUUAUUGGGUUUAAAGGUGGCGUAGGUGGGAUGUUAAGUCAGUUGUGAAAGUUUGCGGCUCAACCGUAAAAUUGCAGUUGAUACUGGCAGUCUUGAGUACAGUAGAGGUGGGCGGAAUGCGUGGUGUAGCGGUGAAAUGCUUAGAUAUCACGAAGAACUCCGAUUGCGAAGGCAGUUCACUGGACUGCAACUGACACUGAGGCUCGAAAGUGUGGGUAUCAAACAGGAUUAGAUACCCCUGUAGUC